rnacentral:lncRNA from 1 species
UGUGUGUGUGUAUGUGUGUACGAAGACGGUUGUGUAAACAAGAAACAGAUGCAUUAGUUUAACGCUCGAGAAGUGAGAAAGUCUUUUACGUUUCGAGCCUACGCUCUUCGACAGAAAGAAACACAGAAAUAAACAGGGAGAGAAUAUA